rnacentral:rRNA from 1 species
UACGGGGGGAGCAAGCGUUGUUCGGAUUUACUGGGCGUAAAGGGCGGGUAGGCGGCCACCGCAAGUCAGUUGUGAAAUCUCCGGGCUUAACCCGGAAAGGUCAACUGAUACUGCGGGGCUAGAGUGCAGAAGGGGCAACUGGAAUUCUCGGUGUAGCGGUGAAAUGCGUAGAUAUCGAGAGGAACACCUGCGGCGAAGGCGGGUUGCUGGGCUGACACUGACGCUGAGGCGCGAAAGCUAGGGGAGCGAACGGG